UGAUAGGUAUGGGUAAAUUGGAUAUGUAGAUCUACAUUUUGAACACCUGGAGCAACAAGGCUGCUCCCAGAAGAUGCCCAAGCUUAUAAAGUGUUUGCAGGCUGGUGCCAGGACUCCUCAGAAUUUGCAGCAGGUUCACAGCCGAUCAUGUUUGGACAGCAGCCACAGCAGAAACGGCAGCGACGACGACGGCGGCGCAUCUGGACCAAGUCAUACUGCGCCUGUGUGUGAAAAGAGAUUCUUCUGGCAUGUCGUGGUCUGCAGUGAGUGUUCCAUCAUCAGUCAGCACCUCCGUCACCUCAGUUGCAGUGACAGCUGAAUUCUCCUGGAUACAGAUAAAAGUGAACACGAGGGCCACAGCGAUGGCAACGGUGAACGUCUUCAUGUUAGGAGAGCUGGACAGGUUGAAACAAUUCAAUCACCGAUUUGCUCUGAUCUGGUCAGUUUGAUGACUGAAUGUCUGAGAUGUUCUGUAUUUAUAGCCACUUAAGCAGCUUUUGCAUAAUUACUGACACUAUGAUAUGAAGCAACUUUGUGUUUUCCCACUAUGUGAUGACAGGAAUGGAGGUAGGAUAAUGAUUUUGGACAGUGUGCGAAAUACCUGUCAAUAUUUGGGGGGGUACCCAUCUCCCGAUUGUUGCGCAAUACCGAUCUAAAUUUUCUCAAUAUUUCAAAGUCAGCUUUAAUGUCAAUUCUUCAGAUUCACCAGACAUACGGACUGGAGAGGACGUUUCUAUUUCACCAACAGUGAAACCGAUAAAGUGCACAGGCACAACAGAUAAGAUCAGUUCCUAAUAAUAAAAUUUAAACAUUCAAUUUCACAAUAAAAUAUAAAAUGUACAAUAAUAUAAAAUAUGCAAUACUUAUGCUAGUGCAAAAAGGCAGAUGGUAAUGGCAGCAGAAAAAUUAUUAUUAUUACCAAUUAUGUAAGAUGUAGCAUUUGUUACAGUAACAGUGCAAAAGAACAGUAAAUAAAUAUAGCAUUAAUAGUAGUGCAGGAGACAGUUUGUCCAGAGUGAUUUUUUUUUGAGGGGGGUUCAGCUUCCUGACAGCUUGGUGGAUGAAGCUUUCUGUGAAUCUGGUGGAGCGGGCAAGAGCCUGAAUAGACUGUCUAUGAAAACACACACAUGCACAAAGACUGUCUGUCUCUCUCUUUCAUGCACGCACGUCCUGCUUUAAUCCAGCUUCUGACGAAUGGAAAUGGGUUGAAUUAGUCCAGAGGAGGUCCGUUAAGGUCCACAAACAGGAGUGAAGACCUGCU